rnacentral:rRNA from 1 species
UGGGGAAUAUUGCACAAUGGGCGCAAGCCUGAUGCAGCCAUGCCGCGUGUGUGAAGAAGGCCUUCGGGUUGUAAAGCACUUUCAGCGAGGAGGAAGGUGGUGAACUUAAUACGUUCAUCAAUUGACGUUACUCGCAGAAGAAGCACCGGCUAACUCCGUGCCAGCAGCCGCGGUAAUACGGAGGGUGCAAGCGUUAAUCGGAAUUACUGGGCGUAAAGCGCACGCAGGCGGUUUGUUAAGUCAGAUGUGAAAUCCCCGGGCUCAACCUGGGAACUGCAUUUGAAACUGGCAAGCUAGAGUCUCGUAGAGGGGGGCUAGAAUUCCAGGUGUAGCGGUGAAAUGCGUAGAGAUCUGGAGGAAUACCGGUGGCGAAGGCGGCCCCCCUGGACGAAGACUGACGCUCAGGUGCGAAAGCGUGGGGCAGCAAACAGGAUUAGAUACCCUGGUAGUCCAGCGCUGUAAACGAUGUCGAUUUGGAGGUUGUGCCCCUUGAGGCGUGGCUUCCGGAGCUAACGCGUUAAAUCGACCGCCUGGGGAGUACGGCCGCAAGGUUAAAA